GAAACUGCGAAUGGCUCAUUAAAUCAGUUAUCGUUUUUUUGAUUUUACCCUACUACAUGGAUGCCUGUGGUAAUUCUAGAGCUAAUACAUGCGCAAAACCCCGACUUCGGAAGGGGUGUAUUUAUUAGAUAAAAAACCAAUGCCCUUUGGGGCUCCUUGGUGAUUCAUAAUAACUUCACGAAUCGCAUGGCCUUGCGCCGGCGAUGGGUCAUUCAAAUUUCUGCCCUAUCAACUUUCGAUGGUAGGAUAGUGGCCUACCAUGGUGGCAACGGGUAACGGGGAAUUAGGGUUCGAUUCCGGAGAGGGAGCCUGAGAAACGGCUACCACAUCCAAGGAAGGCAGCAGGCGCGCAAAUUACCCAAUCCCGAUACGGGGAGGUAGUGACAAUAAAUACUGAUACAGGGCUCUUUUGGGUCUUGUAAUUGGAAUGAGAACAAUCUAAACACCUUAACGAGGAACAAUUGGAGGGCAAGUCUGGUGCCAGCAGCCGCGGUAAUUCCAGCUCCAAUAGCGUAUAUUAAAGUUGUUGCAGUUAAAAAGCUCGUAGUUGAACCUUGGGCCCGUCCUGCCGGUCCGCCUCACCGCGAGUACUGGUCCGGAUGGGCCUUUCUUUCUGGGGAAUCCCAUGGCCUUCACUGGCUGUGGUGGGGACCAGGACUUUUACUGUGAAAAAAUUAGAGUGUUCAAAGCAGGCCUUUGCUCGGAUACAUUAGCAUGGAAUAAUAGAAUAGGACGUGCGGUUCUAUUUUGUUGGUUUCUAGGACCGCCGUAAUGAUUAAUAGGGAUAGUCGGGGGCGUCAGUAUUCAGCUGUCAGAGGUGAAAUUCUUGGAUUUGCUGAAGACUAACUACUGCGAAAGCAUUCGCCAAGGAUGUUUUCAUUAAUCAGGGAACGAAAGUUAGGGGAUCGAAGACGAUCAGAUACCGUCGUAGUCUUAACCAUAAACUAUGCCGACUAGGGAUCGGGCGGGGUUUCUAUGAUGACCCGCUCGGCACCUUACGAGAAAUCAAAGUUUUUGGGUUCUGGGGGGAGUAUGGUCGCAAGGCUGAAACUUAAAGAAAUUGACGGAAGGGCACCACAAGGCGUGGACUGCGGCUUAAUUUGACUCCACACGGGGAAACUCACCAGGUCCAGACAAAAUAAGGAUUGACAGAUUGAGAGCUCUUAAUUGAUCUUUUGGAUGGUGGUGCAUGGCCGUUCUUAGUUGGUGGAGUGAUUUGUCUGCUUAAUUGCGAUAACGACCGAGCCCUCGCCCCUUAAAUAGCCCGGUACACGAAAAAGGGCCGCUGGCUUCUUAGGGGGACUAUCGGCUCAAGCCGAUACAAGUACGUGGCAACAACAGGUCUGUGAUGCCC
rnacentral:rRNA from 1 species